rnacentral:rRNA from 1 species
UACGGGGGGGGUAAGCGUUGUUCGGAAUUACUGGGCGUAAAGGGCUCGUAGGCGGCCAACUAAGUCGGACGUGAAAUCCCUCAGCUUAACUGGGGAACUGCGUCCGAUACUGGAUGGCUUGGAUUUGGGAGAGGGAUGCGGAAUUCCAGGUGUAGCGGUGAAAUGCGUAGAUAUCUGGAGGAACACCGGUGGCGAAGGCGGCAUCCUGGACCGAUAUUGACGCUGAGGAGCGAAAGCUAGGGGAGCAAACGGG